AUUAGUGGCGAACGGGUGAGUAACACGUGGGGAAUCUGCCCAUGAGCGAGGAAUAACAUUCGGAAACGGAUGCUAAUACCUCAUAAGUUCUCUGACCUCCUGGUCAUUGAAUAAAAGACGGCCUUUGUGCUGUCACUCAUGGAUGAUCCCGCGGCGUAUUAGUUAGUUGGUGAGGUAAUGGCUCACCAAGACCAUGAUACGUAGCCGACCUGAGAGGGUGAUCGGCCACACUGGGACUGAGACACGGCCCAGACUCCUACGGGAGGCAGCAGUAGGGAAUCUUCCACAAUGGGUGCAAACCUGAUGGAGCAAUGCCGCGUGAAUGAAGAAGGUCUUCGGAUCGUAAAGUUCUGUUAUUAGUGAAGAACAAAUCGAGGAGUAACUGUCUCGAUUUUGACGGUAACUAACCAGAAAGUCACGGCUAACUACGUGCCAGCAGCCGCGGUAAUACGUAGGUGACAAGCGUUGUCCGGAAUUAUUGGGCGUAAAGGGAGCGCAGGCGGUUGGAAUAGUCUGAUGUGAAAGCCCACGGCUUAACCGUGGAAGGUCAUUGGAAACUGUCCAACUUGAAUGCAGAAGAGGUAAGUGGAAUUCCAUGUGUAGCGGUGAAAUGCGUAGAUAUAUGGAGGAACACCAGUGGCGAAGGCGACUUACUGGUCUGUAAUUGACGCUGAGGCUCGAAAGCGUGGGUAGCGAACAGGAUUAGAUACCCUGGUAGUCCACGCCGUAAACGAUGAGUGCUAAGUGUUGGAGGGUUUCCGCCCUUCAGUGCUGGAGUUAACGCAU
rnacentral:rRNA from 1 species